rnacentral:rRNA from 1 species
GUCAGCUCGUGCCGUGAGGUGUCGGGUUAAGUCCAUAACGAGCGCAACCCUUAUCGUUAGUUGCCAGCGGGUAAAGCCGGGAACGUCUAGCGAAACUGCCGGUGUAAACCGAGAGGAAGGUGGGGAUGACGUCAAAUCAGCACGGCCCUUAUGUCCAGGGCUACACACGUGUUACAAUGGCCGGUACAGAGGGCAGCUACCUGGAGACAGGAUGCGAAUCUCGAAAGCCGGUCUCAGUUCGGAUCGGAGUCUGCAACUCGACUCCGUGAAGCUGGAUUCGCUAGUAAUCGCGCAUCAGCCAUGGCGCGGUGAAUACGUUCCCGGGCCUU